rnacentral:rRNA from 1 species
UACAGAGGGGGCAAGCGUUGUUCGGAAUUACUGGGCGUAAAGGGCGCGUAGGCGGCCCGCUAAGUCGAACGUGAAAUCCCCGGGCUCAACCCGGGAACUGCGUCCGAUACUGGUGGGCUUGAAUCCGGGAGAGGGAUGCGGAAUUCCAGGUGUAGCGGUGAAAUGCGUAGAUAUCUGAAGGAACACCAGUGGCGAAAGCGGCUUCCUGGUCCAGCACCGACGUUCAGGCACGAAAGCGUGGGGAGCAAACAGG